AAACGUAGGACUCAAGCGUUAUCCGGAUUUACUGGGCGUAAAGGGCGGGCAGGCGGCUGUCAAAGUUGGGCGUGAAAGCUCCCGGCUAAACUGGGAGAGGGCGUUCGAAACUAGGCAGCUAGAGGGCAGUAGAGGGGCGUGGAAUUCCGGGUGGAGUGGUGAAAUGCGUAGAGAUCCGGAGGAACACCAGAGGCGAAGGCGGCGCCCUGGGCUGCACCUGACGCUGAGCCGCGAAAGCCAGGGGAGCGAACGGGAUUAGAAACCCCGGUAGUCCUGGCCGUAAACGAUGUCAACUAGGUGUUGGGGGUACCCCCUCGGCGCCGGAGCAAACGCGAUAAGUUGACCGCCUGGGGAGUACGGCCGCAAGGCUAAA
rnacentral:rRNA from 1 species